rnacentral:rRNA from 1 species
AUUGAACGCUGGCGGCAGGCCUAACACAUGCAAGUCGGGCGGCAGCGGGGGAAAGCGUGCUUUCCUGCCGGCGAGCGGCGGACGGGUGAGUAAUGUCUGGGGAUCUGCCCGAUGGAGGGGGAUAACCACUGGAAACGGUGGCUAAUACCGCAUGAACUCUGAGGAGCAAGGUGGGGGACCUUCGGGCCUCACGCCAUCGGAUGAACCCAGAUGGGAUUAGCUAGUAGGUGGGGUAACGGCUCACCUAGGCGACGAUCCCUAGCUGGUCUGAGAGGAUGACCAGCCACACUGGGACUGAGACACGGCCCAGACUCCUACGGGAGGCAGCAGUGGGGAAUAUUGCACAAUGGGCGCAAGCCUGAUGCAGCCAUGCCGCGUGUAUGAAGAAGGCCUUCGGGUUGUAAAGUACUUUCAGCGGGGAGGAAGGCGUGAAACCGAAUACGUUCACGAUUGACGUACCCG